UUUCUUAGCUUUGCUAUAUGAAGACCCAGCCCAUCUGUCACCUUGACUGCAAAGCUGUAAUUUUAAUGUUUGGCUCUGUAAAUGUUUAAAACAUCAUUCCAUUAUUUACAAAGGGAAGGAUACAUCUAAUAGAGUGCGGCUGAAAGAGAACUGUCUCAGCUCACUUGUCUUUACUCCAAGACUUUUGCUGCUUUGUGUCUCUGUUUUCAACUGAAAUGGUAUCACAACAGUGGAGUAAAUGCUGCAUUACACUGCAGUAUCCAUUUUGGACAGCUCUAUUCUCUUGCUUGCUUUGCUUUUCAGAAAUUCAGAAUGUACAAAGGAUGUUGUCUGCAUUCCCUUGGGAAAGACUGAAACUUGUUGCAAUUGUGAAGAUGAUCAGCAGCUCUCCAUGAAAUAUCCCAAUCCACUAAGGGUUAGAGCUUCAGAAAGCUUAAAAUCACUUUACAAGACUUCGUAACAGACUCCCCAUCUCUGAUGACAUUAGUCAGAGACUGAAUACUUUGAAGUGUUUGAAACAAGAAUUAAUUCUUAGAAGUGGA